rnacentral:rRNA from 1 species
AGAAUCAACGCUGGCGGCGUGCCUAACACAUGCAAGUCGAACGCGGUCACCCCGCAAGGGGCAACUGAGUGGCGAACGGGUGAGUAACACGUGGGUGACCUACCUUCGAGUGGGGGAUAACGUCCCGAAAGGGACGCUAAUACCGCAUAACAUCCCGUCCUUGAACGGAUGGAGAUCAAAGCCGGGGAUCGCAAGACCUGGCGUUUGAAGAGGGGCCCGCGUCCGAUUAGCUAGUUGGUGAGGUAACGGCUCACCAAGGCGACGA